UCUGCCACAGCCCUACUUGGUCUUACAGCAUAGCUGCAGCUUCUGCUGUCUCCUGCGGCAGGGAAAAAAAAAAAAAAAACAAAACAAAAACAAAACAAACAGAGCUGAAUUUGGGCAAAAAUAGCUUCCUUGUGGACCUGCACUGCUGAAAUGUGGGAGGGAGCAAAGCACUUAAUUUACUAAUUAAUUGGUCAAAAGUACCUUGCUCAAGCAUUCUACAACAGGAGGAAGGAUCUGAACCCAGAUAUUUUCACCAGGAGCUACCACCUCACAUGAUGGGACCAUCAGACACAUCCAC
rnacentral:lncRNA from 1 species